rnacentral:sRNA from 1 species
AAAUGCACAAAGAAUGGUUUUAGUAAAAAUUUAAUAUGUAAAUUUUAGACGAUAGAAAGUAAUAAUUCUGUCGUCUUUUUU